GGCACGGUGGCAGCAGGCAACAUGGCUGAGAGGCCGGGGCCUCCGGGCGGCGCCGUGUCAGCGACCGCCUACCCUGACACCCCCGCGGAAUUCCCUCCGCACCUCCAGGCGGGUGCGAUGCGGCGCCGCUUUUGGGGCGUAUUCAACUGCUUGUGCGCCGGCUCAUUCGGGGCCCUGGCCGCCGCCUCCGCCAAGCUGGCCUUCGGCAGCGAGGUCGAGCCCGGGGCGCUGCUGUUGCUGCUGCGGGCGGGCGGGUGGGGCGGCGCUGGGCGGAGGAGGGGCGCUGCGGGGCCCGCGGGGCUCCCGGGGUGGGGCGGGGGUGGGCGCAGGGCGCCGCCGCACCCUCACCGGUCUGUCCGGCCGGGACCCCGGGCCGCGCGCGGCGCUGCGGUCAGCUGGGGUGGGAGAGAGUGUUCCGCCUCUAAUCAGGCCAAACCCUCGUCCAGUGUAGGCGGUAAGAAGCGUCGGGGACUGAGGCCUCCUCCCUUACCAGGGACCUAAAACCUUUUCUCCGGUUGGGCUAGUUCGCUCUCGGGGAAGAACUACACCUCCUACAUCCACCCUCUACCUCUCAUUUUAAGUCCCUUGUGCCUGAGCAUUUCUCUCCACGUGACUCUUAAGGUGAGAAGCCUGCUGCCCAUCCCUUUACUCCGUAAUUAACGGGUGUUGUGACCAGAUGACCAGUCUGCCCCACUACCAGGAAAACUGGGAGUUUGGGAUACUGUAGGCAUAAGGGGAUACUGACAGAGACGUUCUGGUUGUUUUCCUGACGCUGAGAACUCCUAAACUUGCCUCCUGGCGUCUGCUAAAGUGUGUCUCUGCCUCUCCUGUCGCACGUCGUAGACCAGCCUCUGCUUGCUAGAGGGGUUUCAUUGCAUCUACAGCCCAGGGUUAGCCUCUGACCUGGACAGUGGUCACGGAUUUAGGGUUAAGUCUAUUUAGGGCUAAUCCAGUAGGAGCUGCCAUGCUUGAGGUUAGUAUCCCAUUGGGUGUAGUUCAUGGGGUAAGUGGUCGAAAGUAAAAUGAAUAACUUUGUAUGGGCCGUGAAGCUUGUUGUCAGGAGCCAGACCUUCAUAACCCUUUAUGUAAGCAGGUUGCCACUGGCUCAUAUGCUGCUUUGUGUAAGACAAGGUUGUUCAACUCGCGGCCCAACACAAAUUUGUAAACUUAAAACAUGAAUUUUUUUGCAAUUUAUUUAUUUUUUUUUAGCUCAUCAUAUAUCAUUAGUGUUAGUGUAUUAUAUGUGUGACCCAAGACACUUCUUCCAUUGUGUCCCAGGGAAGCCAAAAGAUUGAACACCCUGGAGUAAGUUAUAAGAAAGCAUCUUUUUCUCAAGACACUAUGUGUUCAGCUGCUGAGAAACCAUUACAAGUAAUAAGUAUGAUAUUUAGAUUCCGCCCCCCUCCCCCACCUUGUCUCCAGGCAGGUUUCUAACUCACCACCAAGCAAGGGGGGCUGCAUAUCCUUUGUGUAGGAGGCUUCUAAAGAUCUUCUCUUCUCUUGAGACUUUCUCCUUUAAAAAAAAGAAAGAAAAUAUCUGCAAGUUCUCCAGGGGAUGUCUGGGAUCACUAAAUAGUCUGAGGUAGUGUUUCCCCCAGGCAAGGCUGUGUCCUAGUUGAGCAUGGAGGUACACUGCCUGGUUGUGAAGCCAGGUGGCUCUCACCGCUGUAGCACUUUAGGAAGGUUACUUAAUGCCCCUGGCUCUUUAUCUGUAAAAUGAAGUUAAGGAAUAAAUGAGAAUGCUUAAACACAGCCCAGGACCUAACACAUAGUAAAAGCUCAAGAAUGCCCCGAGGGGGUCAGCCUUGGUGGGCUAUAACUUGUAUAGGAUUUGGGUGUGGGAAUACAGAGCAGACAUUGCUAAUUCAUGCUUUCCCUGAUCUCAAGAAGUAAGAACUCCACCCCUGACUUAACUCAUACUACCUACGGAGUAAGAACUACUUGGCCCUCUAGGACUGUUCUUCAAGCACUGGUCAUUGUGGGACCAAUAAGGGGCCGGUGUUUAGUAGAAAAUACUGGCUUUGGAUUAGCAUUUUGCUUCUUCCCAAGAUCAUAUGGCCAGCAAGGUGGCCAAAUGAGUAUCUUCUCUGAAUUUGCUUUAUUUGUAAGAUGGGUCUGCUGCCUACUGAGGGUUAAGUGAAGCUCUGUGCAGGAAAGCUCUGAGGCCCUCUGAGCUGUAGUGGGAGCUCAGUAGGAGCCUGGGUGCCAGCAGCCACAGCCCUGGGUGUGCUUUGAGGGGGUCUGCAGGUUGCUGCCCAGGGUGGACGUGGCUGCAGUGACACUUUCUCCUGCAGGUAAGCAUGGGUUUAUGCGUCUUAGGCAUUAUUGUGAUGGCGAGCACCAAUUCUCUGAUGUGGACCUUCUUUAGCCGGGGCCUCAGUUUCUCCAUGUCUUCAGCCAUUGCAUCUGUCACAGUGACUUUUUCAAAUAUCCUCAGCUCGGCCUUCCUGGGCUAUGUGCUGUAUGGAGAGUGCCAGGAGGUCUUGUGGUGGGGAGGAGUGUUCCUUAUUCUCUGCGGACUCACCCUAAUCCACAGGAAGCUCCCACCCACCUGGAAGCCCCUUCCACACAAGCAGCAGUAGCACCACUUGGCUGGACGGACCAGCUGGAAAGCUCACGAUGGUGGCCCAGCCUUGGGAUGUCAUGUGGUACUGUGUCCUAGGGCGAUCCAGUUGUGCAGCCUUCUGACCAUCAGCCAGGGGAAGCAAGCGUCUGACGGAGCAGGCUCUGGCUCUGUAAGGAGAGGUGCAGCCGCAGCAGUGUUCUACCGGAAGUGUUUUGAUCAUCUGUACAGUGCUUUGGAUUCUUGCUCCCAGGCCCACCCCAGUGAGCCUUUGCAGAUGCUGGAGAUCCUGGGGUUGGUCUGCUUUGUGUAUGGUACUUGAAACCACGCUGUAAUUAUUGUCCUGUUGCCAAACAAAAGCCAGUCAUGUAACUCUAGAAGCAGUGACUGGUGGGGCUUUCUGACAGUUCCAUGCUGAUGUAUCGGGCCAUCUGUGUCAUGCGUAUGUAUUAUGGCAAGAAGAGGAAAACUGGAUUAAUAAAUACUUUUUUUGUAAGUUAAAACUACCA
rnacentral:sRNA from 1 species